GCGCGCCUAGCUCAAUGGUUAGAGCAGUCGGCUUAUAUCCGACCGGUUCCAGGUUCGAGCCCUGGGGCGCGCACCA
rnacentral:tRNA from 1 species